AUUGAACGCUGGCGGCAGGCCUAACACAUGCAAGUCGAGCGGUAGAGAGGAGCUUGCUUCUCUUGAGAGCGGCGGACGGGUGAGUAAUGCCUAGGAAUCUGCCUAGUGGUGGGGGAUAACGUUCGGAAACGGACGCUAAUACCGCAUACGUCCUACGGGAGAAAGCGGGGGAUCUUCGGACCUCGCGCCAUUAGAUGAGCCUGGGUCGGAUUAGCUAGUUGGUGAGGUAAUGGCUCACCAAGGCGACGAUCCGUAACUGGUCUGAGAGUAUGAUCAGUCACACUGGAACUGAGACACUGUCCAGACUCCUACGGGAUGCAGCAGUGGGGAAUAUUGGACAAUGGGCGAAAGCCUGAUCCAGCCAUGCCGCGUGUGUGAAGAAGGUCUUCGGAUUGUAAAGCACUUUAAGUUGGGAGGAAGGGUAGUAACCUAAUACGUUGCUACUUUGACGUUACCGACAGAAUAAGCACCGGCUAACUUCGUGCCAGCCGCCGCGGUAACAC
rnacentral:rRNA from 1 species